UUUUAUUUGAGAGUUUGAUCCUGGCUCAGGAUGAACGCUGGCGGCGUGCCUAACACAUGCAAGUUGAGCGAUUUACUUCGGUAAAGAGCGGCGGACGGGUGAGUAACGCGUGGGUAACCUACCCUGUACACACGGAUAACAUACUGAAAGGUAUGCUAAUACGGGAUAAUAUAUUUGAGAGGCAUCUCUUGAAUAUCAAAGGUGAGCCAGUACAGGAUGGACCCGCGUCUGAUUAGCUAGUUGGUAAGGUAACGGCUUACCAAGGCGACGAUCAGUAGCCGACCUGAGAGGGUGAUCGGCCACAUUGGAACUGAGACACGGUCCAAACUCCUACGGGAGGCAGCAGUGGGGAAUAUUGCACAAUGGGCGAAAGCCUGAUGCAGCAACGCCGCGUGAGUGAUGAAGGCCUUCGGGUCGUAAAACUCUGUCCUCAAGGAAGAUAAUGACGGUACUUGAGG
rnacentral:rRNA from 1 species